rnacentral:lncRNA from 1 species
CAAUUAACAAUAUCAUAUAUAAAACAAAUUACACUAAUAAUUAAUUAACAUUCAAAUACAUAUUACUUAAUAAUAUUAACCCUUAUUAGUAUUAACUUCAUAGAAACUAAAACAUCCUAAUUAUUAUAAAAUUCAUCCAUAUAACUUAUUUUGAAUACUAACCAAAUUUAAUUACUUUGCUAACUAGCUAAUUAAACCUUUCUAAGAUCGUAUAGUUCUUGUUUAUCGACUUCCUUAAUUUUUC